rnacentral:rRNA from 1 species
UGGGGAAUAUUGGGCAAUGGAGGCAACUCUGACCCAGCAACGCCGCGUGAAGGAAGAAGGUUUUCGGAUUGUAAACUUCUGUCGCGAGGGACGAAGAAUGACGGUACCUCGUAAGAAAGCCCCGGCUAACUACGUGCCAGCAGCCGCGGUAAUACGUAGGGGGCAAGCGUUGUCCGGAAUGACUGGGCGUAAAGGGAGUGUAGGCGGCUUAGCAAGUCAGAUGUGAAAGCCCGCGGCUUAACCGCGGAACUGCAUCUGAAACUGUUAGGCUUGAGUGCAGGAGAGGUAAGUGGAAUUCCUAGUGUAGCGGUGGAAUGCGUAGAUAUUAGGAGGAACACCAGAGGCGAAGGCGACUUACUGGACUGUAACUGACGCUGAGGCUCGAAAGCGUGGGGAGCAAACAGG